AUUGAACGCUGGCGGCAUGCCUAACACGUGCAAGUCGAACGGGGCAGCAAUGCCUAGUGGCGGACGGGUGAGGAAUACGUAGGAAUCUGCCCUUAAGUGGGGGAUAACCAGGGGAAACCCUGACUAAUACCGCAUGAUCUCUUCGGAGCAAAGAGGGGGACCGCAAGGCCUCUCGCUUCUGGAUGAGCCUACGUCUGAUUAGCUAGUUGGUGAGGUAAAGGCUCACCAAGGCGACGAUCAGUAGCUGGUCUGAGAGGAUGAUCAGCCACACUGGGACUGAGACACGGCCCAGACUCCUACGGGAGGCAGCAGUGGGGAAUAUUGGACAAUGGGCGCAAGCCUGAUCCAGCCAUGCCGCGUGAGUGAUGAAGGCCUUAGGGUUGUAAAGCUCUUUCGCCGGUGAAGAUAAUGACGGUAACCGGAGAAGAAGCCCCGGCUAACUUCGUGCCAGCCGCCGCCGUAAUAC
rnacentral:rRNA from 1 species